UACGAGCGGCCCAAACGUUAUUCGGAAUUACUGGGCUUAAAGAGUUCGUAGGCGGCGCAGAAAGUAGGGUGUGAAAGCCCUCGGCUCAACCGAGGAAUUGCGCUCUAAACUACUGUGCUUGAGGAAGCUAGAGGUGAGCGGAACUGAUGGUGGAGCGGUGAAAUGCGUUGAUAUCAUCAGGAACACCGGAGGCGAAGGCGGCUCACUGGGGCUUUUCUGACGCUGAGGAACGAAAGCCAGGGGAGCGAACGGG
rnacentral:rRNA from 1 species